GUGACCCCCGGCGGUGACGGGGCCGCGCCCCCCCCCCCCCCCUCAGGCGCCCGCGGCUCCCUCCCGCCAGGCGCGGGGCGGGCGCUUUCCGGGGCAGCUUGAGCCUCGCGCGCUGCCGUCCGGGCGGCCCGCAGAGCUCGGCGGCCGCCAUGUCUACCCUGGGGAAGGCGUCGGGCGCGCUCAAGUCGGUGGAUUACGAAGUGUUCGGGCGGGUGCAAGGUGUUUGUUUCAGGAUGUACACAGAAGAGGAAGCUAGGAAGCUAGGAGUUGUUGGCUGGGUUAAAAAUACCAGUCAAGGAACAGUAACAGGCCAAGUUCAAGGCCCAGAAGAUAAAGUAAAUGCAAUCUGUGGACUUGACCCACUGGAUAUUUUAAGAACUGGCUGUUGUGAUUCAUGGAGCAGCUAGCAAGCAGGCAGAAGCAGCGCAGUCUUCCCCAUGGCUACAGGCUCAGUUCUAUUCUGGGGCACCACACCUACGCCUGAGCAGGUUGCUUGCUUUCUGGCCCACGCACUUGUUGGCCCAGAAAUACCUGUGGGAGCAGUGCCCUGGGCGAGGGGACACCUGAUGGAUGGAGCAUGCUUGAGCAGGCCCCACUAGCCCCACGCUGUGCCCGGGGCCGGGUGAAAGGAAAUCCUGGCUGACUAAAGUUGGAAGCCCAAGUUCUCGUAUAGACAGAACGAAUUUUUCUAACGAAAAGGAGAUUUCCAAGCUUGACUUCUCAGGAUUUAGCACUAGAUACUAAUAGAAGAAAACAUCGCUAAGCACAAAACUGGUGUUUCUGCUGCAUGAUAUUUUCUGUGCGUCCAUAAAAUGUCACAAGCACUUGGAUGCUUUCUGUACUUGAAAUAGAUGAUUGCUGUUCACACAAAGUAAGAAUUCUUAGUUGCUGUAUUAGGUAUUUCACAACAUGAUUGUCAAUGCUUAAUAUCUAAAGUGUCAAUAUCUAAUUUAUUGCAUCUUGAAAUCUAUAUAAGUCGCUAAAAGUAUCAUUGAUUAUUUCUGUACAGUGAUACUUGUUAUUACAACCAUAUGAAGCCUAAUCUUUACACUGUAAAGGAUAAAUAAAUAAUCACUAUGUUCUACAGUUCAUAACCUCUCCAGAAAUCAAUAAUACAGAACUGGAACUCUUAGAGAGGUAUGAUCUAUAAUACAGAGAUAUUAGAAUAUUACUUGUGAUAAUUUAAAAUAAAUGUGCAUUGCUUCAAACAAAAAUAAACUGCCUGUGGUUUAACAUACUCUAAGGUGAUGCAGGUACUUCUUAGAAUAAGAUGAUGAAACGCAUUGCCUCUCAACGUCUUUUCCUUGUCUGCCUAAAGCCUAAAUCUCUACUGAUGAAAAAGGAUAUUCCAUUCUUUUUGCUGUAUGGUAUUAUCAAAAUUAACUGAGGAUUUCAGUUACUGUCCUUACUGGAUGAGUAUUUGCUCAUCCAGUGAGUUGAAUUGGGUACAACAGAGUACACCCCCAGAAGUCAUACCAAGUACAUAAAUGGUCUUGAGAAAAUUGAAUCAUGUGCUUGCAAUAAAUACUGGAUACAUCUCUGCAA